rnacentral:rRNA from 1 species
UACGUAGGUGGCAAGCGUUGUCCGGAAUUAUUGGGCGUAAAGGGCGUGUAGGCGGUUCCAUAAGUCGGCCGUGAAAAGCGUCAGCUCAACUGAAGCAGGGCGACCGAGACUGUGGGGCUUCGAGUGCGGGAGAGGGAAGUGGAAUUCCCGGUGUAGCAGUGAAAUGCGUAGAUAUCGGGAAGAACACCAAUGGCGAAAGCGACUUCCUGGCCCGCUACUGACGCUGAGGCGCGAAAGCCAGGGGAGCGAACGGG